AUGCAAUUGUUGAAACAUAAAACUAUGACUUGUGGUCUCUGCAUUUCAGUAUAUAUAAAUUAUAUUGCAAUUUAAGCAGAUUCUCAAACUGUUAAGGUCAUCAAAAGCAAGGAAAGUCUGAGAACCUGUCAGUGCCUAAGGAGACAUGAGGAUUAAAAUAAUGUAAUAUCUUGGAUGGGCUCUAAGAACAGAAAAGGGAACAUUUUUAAGUGAAUCAAAUCUAAAUGAAAUAUGUAGUUUAGUUAAUAACAAUAUAUCAAUAUUGGUUCAUUGUGACAAAUGUACCUCACUAAUGUAAGAUGUUAACAAUAGGGAAAACUUGGCCACUUUCCAUAAGCCUGAAACCAUUCUAAAAUUCUUUAAAAAUAGAAACAAGUAGGAUGUGGGGGGGGGGGAUGAAUAAUAUGGCAGUCACCUAAGAACCUACUGGAAGGUCAAUAAAAUGAAAAUGAAAACAUCAAUAUACAUUAUUUAUUUCAAGCAAUAAGUGUAAAUAAGCCGUAGAAAGCAAAUGUUUUUAUUUACUGAACCUUAGCAUCAAAUAUAUUACCCUUCUAUAGAUAUACUUUCCCAUGAUAAAACUGAAGAUUAUCAGCAUUAACCAUUAAUUUUUUAACUGGGCUAUCACAUUUAAAAAGAAAAGGUUGUACACAUACAAGUGGCAAUGGACUGAAUAAACAGUAUAACUUUUAUGUUAGAGUAGCAGAUUCCUCAUCGUAAAUUAUCUAAUACCAGUGUUCCGUCCUGUUUAACUCCACCAUCCAUGGGUUACGUACAUUCUUUACGUGGGUAAACAGAAACAUUCAUUUCGUGCCUGCCAAAACAUUUUCUUCUCAGAUGUGUGUGUGUGUGUGCGCGAUUGGAAGAGCAACAUCAAUUCCUGGGUUAAUAGGACUUAUUGGCCUAAAGGGAGGGAGCAUGUUCUCCUGGCAAGCCUGAAAAACUCAGAAUCAGACCCGCCAAAUUCUCGUCUUCAUCACAGCCCCAGGGUUCUUGUGUGGCUAGAGAAAUCCUUCACCUUCUGUGCCUUGUUUGUUCUUCGGAAAUCAGGGGAAAGCACCUUUCUCAGGAGCCUUAGGAGCCUUUAAUAAGAGUUUAAAAGUCAGAAGAG
rnacentral:lncRNA from 1 species